rnacentral:lncRNA from 1 species
AGUUAUUAAUUGUGUAUAAUUAGAGUAAUUAGUUUAUGACCAAAAUUUUUUUAAUUCUAAUAAAAUGGUCAAACAACCUUUCAUAAGUAAAUUUUUUCAGAAUGUUUCUCUUUUAAUAGUAUAGAUAGAAUAGUUAAAUAACUUAUUUGUCGAUGGAAAAGACACAUGUGCUUAUGUGCUUGCAUGUCGUUACUUUUUUGUUUUUUUUUUCGUCUUAAUAAAACAUGUGCAGA